rnacentral:rRNA from 1 species
GACAGGGGUCUCGAGCGUUAAUCGGAAUCACUGGGCUUAAAGGGUGCGUAGGCGGGCCUGUAAGUGUCCUGUGAAAUCCCCCGGCUCAACCGGGGAACUGCGGGGCAUACUGCGGGUCUUGAGGAAGGUAGGCGCCGAGGAAACAGUAGGUGGAGCGGUGAAAUGCGUAGAUAUCGAUAGGAACUCCGGUGGCGAAGGCGGCAUACUGGACCACAUCUGACGCUGAGGCGCGAAAGCCAGGGGAGCGAACGGG